AGAUGUCGGGCUGUUUUAAUCUUACUCAACUCUGAAGAAGCUGAGUGGCCUAUACAUGACCAGAACGCUUUGUUGGCUUCUCACAGGGAGAUGUGUAUGCGUGCGUGAGUGCGGUAUGCAUGUAUUAAAAAAAAAAAAAAAAAAAAAAAAAAAAGGCUUUUCUCUGAAAAGAGACGAGAAGGGCAGUGCGACCUCCAGAAGAGUGGAUGAUGCAUCUUUUCCCUCAGCCCCGUCUCACGCGUUAUUUAUUAUAGUGGAGGCUGAGAAUCUAGGGCAUUCUGGUCGUCUCCUCUUUCAGAUAUUCUCACCGCCUACCCUUGUCGGGGCUCACACUGACAAAUCCUCACUGAUUGGAGCGGGGCUAAGACGAGUGGAUCGCUUCCAUUCUUGCCAGGAGAAGAAUCAUUGGAUUUGAAAUGAAUCUUGGGGAGAUGGUACAGGAAGGCCUGCACAGGAGGUCGCAUGGGCUCCUCAAAGCCGGGGACGC
rnacentral:lncRNA from 1 species